rnacentral:miRNA from 1 species
GCUCCCUGCAGACAAUUUAUUGCAGCCUUCUCAGGGUGGCCCCCUGCUCUGUUCACCAGGGGGAAGGUGUA